UAUGCCUUCGUAACACAGCCCAGUCCGACC
rnacentral:piRNA from 1 species